GCUAAGAUCCAAUGUUUUCGCGACCACUUGUUAAACAAACAACAACAACUGUUUCUAUGACCACAUGUCCGACUAAGAUCCAACACCUUUAGUCUCGUCCUGGCCCGAACUAAUUUUAGAACACGUUUGAUCCAAACCCGUUACCCAGCCCAGUCUGACCCAUUUUACCUGGUAUAUGUCUACACAAUAACCCAUAAGGGAUUUCCAUGGUAUGUCAACGAAAGGGGAUAAGAUGUUUGCAGCUUUGAUAAUUGGUUUGGCUGUGUUUGCGAAUGUAGUUAAUAUAUACAACGAUGCAUAUGCAUUUUUCAAGAGAAACCCUUCUCCUCGUGCUUGAGUUUUGUGGCGCCGAUGGAGCCAAACUUUGUAUAAAAUGAUUGUUUAUUCAAACAUGUUUUGUUAAGUGCAAGAGAACUUGCUUCAGCGCGAUGUUUGUAAUAUAUGCUUGUACUAAAGAAUCAUAUUGUUGUUGAAUUUAUAGGCUUGCACGUUGACGUGCAAUGAGAA